rnacentral:lncRNA from 1 species
CUGGAGAGGAAGGGAGCAGCCUGGCCUGGGUCCGAGAGGCCCCUGCAACCACAAGGGCUCCUUUGCCUGCAGAAGCAACCAGAGCUGCGCUGGAAUUCAGGAAAUCUCAGGCCAGCCCAGGCUCUGCACAGAGAAGGCAACAAUAAAGGCUUGUGAAUAAAGGACCAUCACCAGGACUGGUCCCUGCCACUGCAUCCAGGUCUAGUCGUUGAUGGGAGCAGAAAGAGCAUGGGCUUGGCCGCCUGAAAGACCCAGGUUCAAAUGUACUUCUGCUGCUCACUGGCUGUGUGACCUGGAGCCGCUGACUUAACAUCUCUGAGCCUCAGCUUGACAUCACGCAGAAUGACAAGGAAAUGGUGGCUCUCAGCUUGCCUGCCUCACUGGGAGGAGGCUACGAGAGGACAGAGGGGUCAGCCUGGGGUCCCGCUGGUGGUGGACGAGGAGGACGUGAGCUGGAGUCCCCUCCCCGCCCCCCACCGCUCUCUCCCCGAUGGACAGGGCUGCGUCCGGAGCUCAGGGACAAAGCCCUCUUGGCAGGGGCUGCAGCUGGGCCUGUGAAACAGCCCUUUCAGCUCCGGCUCUGAAUGGCGGUUCUGUGGCCUCGUUGGAGGAACACAGGCGCCUUUUCUGUGUCACUUCCCCCUCACCAGCGGAGCUCCAGAAAUAUGCCACAGCUCGCAUUCCGCCAGGGGCUUGCAUGCAGACAGGGAGGAAACUCGUGAAAUGAAAAACCCCCGCAACCAGACAGAGCGGAGUUUGAGUCCCUCUUCUGUCACCUGCCAGCUGACUUCAGACCCGGGCUAGACAGGUGCCUCCCUGCACAGGCCCUCCCCAAGGCUGCCUGCACGCUGCUGUCCUGCCAUUUCCAAGUCCUGGGUCAGCCACACAGUCAAGAGAGAGACAGCAUGUGUCUCUCCGAACAGCCUCAGACGAGGAGCACACGGCCGACUCUGCCUAGCAGCCCAGGGGGAGGAGCUGCACACUGACAGUGAGGAGGGCAGCGGGGGAUCAAGCAGCAGUGAGCCCCACAGAGCCAGCCUCCGAACUGAGCCUCUGGAGAGCUGAGAAGAGCAGAUGAAGAUGUGUCAACAGUGGUCAGCUCACCCGUUUCAUCCUUCAGCUUCAAAACUCUGGAGCCACACAGACCAGGUCUGCAGAUUUUCAGGAUUCUUGCUGCUGCUGCCGCUUAGAAGCUUAGGAGAGAAAAAUAAAAUUCCGCCAAAUUGGG